AUUAUUGUUUUUGGUAGAAUCAUAUACUUAGUCUCAUAAGUCCUAAUUCAACUGACAAAAAUACUAAAAUUGUUUGGCCGAACGUCAUGACCGGGAUUCGAACCCUGGUACCUCCCCUCCUUUGUGCGUGUGAGUUUAUGAUGGCAAAAAAAAACAAAAGAAUCAUAUUACUCACUUUUCCCUCUAAAUUUUUGUGAUGUUAUCUGAUUUUUGCAGUUUGCAGCAGCUGCGGCUGUGUUUCUCUCUUCCCUGUUGUGGCUGCUUUUUUGUCUGGAGGCGUGUCCCCUUUCGGUUUGGUGUUUAGGCAGCUUCGGCAGGGCUAUGGAACAGAAAUUUGAUGAAGUGAAUUUAAUUUUUGUCUCUUGCUCUGGCGGAGAGAAGUACCGGAUACCAGCCAUGAAGAGGAUGUUCAAGAGAGAAGUAACAAGGCUGCUUUUGCUCAAAAGCUGUUUAUGUCUGCUUUAUACUCAGAAUAAUUAAUAGAACAAUUAGUCAAUACAUUGUGAGGAA